AGAACGAACGCUGGCGGCAGGCUUAACACAUGCAAGUCGAGCGCUCUUCCCUGCUUCGGCGGGGUCGGGAGCGGCGGACGGGUGAGUAACGCGUGGGAACGUGCCCUGGGGUGCGGAACAACAGCUGGAAACGGCUGCUAAUACCGCAUGAUGUCUACGGACCAAAGAUAUAUCGCAAGAUAUAUCGCCCUGGGAUCGGCCCGCGUCGGAUUAGGUAGUUGGUGGGGUAACGGCCCACCAAGCCGACGAUCCGUAGCUGGUUUGAGAGGAUGAUCAGCCACACUGGGACUGAGACACGGCCCAGACUCCUACGGGAGGCAGCAGUGGGGAAUCUUAGACAAUGGGCGAAAGCCUGAUGCAGCGACGCCGCGUGAGGGAUGACGGCCUUCGGUUGUAAACCUCUUUCAGCUCCGACGAAGCGAAAGUGACGGUAGGGCAGAAGAAGCACCGGCUAACUACGUGCCAGCAGCCGC
rnacentral:rRNA from 1 species